rnacentral:rRNA from 1 species
UCAAGUUAGAAAGGGCGCAUGGCGAAUGCCUUGGCACCAGGAGCCGAAGAAGGACGUGAUAAGCUGCGAUAAGCUGUGGGUAGCCGCACAUAGGCUGUGAUCCACAGAUUUCCGAAUGAGGAAACUCAUAUACCUAACGGUAUAUAUCCUGAACUGAAUACAUAGGUUCAGGAGGGUAGACCCGGGGAACUGAAACAUCUAAGUACCCGGAGGAAGAGAAAGAAAAAUCGAUUUUCUAAGUAGCGGCGAGCGAAAGGGAAAGAGCCCAAACCAGAAACUUGUUUCUGGGGUUGCGGACAGAUCAUAAACGUAGAGGCUAUUGUAGUUGAAGUAAGCUGGAAAGCUUCACCAUAGAAGGUAAUAGUCCUGUAAACAAAACAAGAAGACUACAGAUCUGAUCCAGAGUACCACGAGACACGUGAAACCUUGUGGGAAGCAGGGAGGACCACCUCCCAAGGCUAAAUACUACCUGGUGACCGAUAGUGAAGAAGUACCGUAAGGGAAAGGUGAAAAGAACCCCGGGAGGGGAGUGAAAUAGAACCUGAAACCGUGUGCCUACAAUCGGUCGGAGCACUUUAUAUGUGUGACGGCGUACUUUUUGUAGAACGGGCCAACGAGUUACGAUAUGUAGCGAGGUUAAGCACUGAAGGUGUGGAGCCGAAGGGAAACCAAGUCUGAAUAGGGCGAAUUAGUUGCAUGUCGUAGACCCGAAACCGAGUGAUCUAUCCAUGGCCAGGAUGAAGCGAAAGUAAAAUUUCGUGGAGGUCCGAACCACGUUGGUGUUGAAAAACCAUGGGAUGAGCUGUGGAUAGCGGAGAAAUUCCAAUCGAACUCGGAGAUAGCUGGUUCUCCUCGAAAUAGCUUUAGGGCUAGCGUCAGGUAAUUAAGUAAUGGAGGUAGAGCACUGAAUGAGCUAGGGGGCUUCACCGCUUACCGAACUCUAUCAAACUCCGAAUGCCGUAUACUUGUAUCCUGGCAGUCAGACUGCGAAUGAUAAGAUCCGUAGUCAAAAGGGAAAGAGCCCAGACCAUCAGCUAAGGUCCCAAAGUGUAAGUUAAGUGGUAAAGGAUGUGGGAUUUCUAAGACAACUAGGAUGUUGGCUUAGAAGCAGCCAUUCAUUUAAAGAGUGCGUAAUAGCUCACUAGUCAAGAGAUCCUGCGCCGAAAAUGUCCGGGGCUAAAACUUACCACCGAAGCUAUGGAUGUACUAUGUACAUGGUAGAGGAGCUUUCUGCAUUGGUUGAAGUCGUACCGAAAGGAGCGGUGGACGAUGCAGAAGUGAGAAUGUUGGCAUGAGUAGCGAGAAAUAGGUGAGAAUCCUAUUGGCCGAAUAUCUAAGGUUUCCUGAGGAAGGCUCGUCCUCUCAGGGUUAGUCGGGACCUAAGCCCAGGCCGAAAGGCGUAGGCGAUGGACAAUCGGUUGAUAUUCCGAUACCGCCAAACUUCGUUUGACAAAUGGGGUGACGCAGAAGGAUAGGAUAUGCACACUGUUGGAGUGUGUGUUCAAGCACUUAGGCAGGCUAAGCAGGCAAAUCCGUUUAGUCAAUGCUGAGGUGUUACGAGGAGCGAUUUUUUUCGCGAAGUAUCUGAUUCCACGCUGCCAAGAAAAGCCUCUAUGGAGAAGUUUGGUGCCCGUACCGCAAACCGACACAGGUAGAUGAGGAGAGAAUCCUAAGGCCGGCGGAAGAAUUGUUGUUAAGGAACUCGGCAAAUUGACCCCGUAACUUCGGGAGAAGGGGUGCCUAGCGAAAGCUAGGCCGCAGUGAAUAGGCCCAGGCAACUGUUUAACAAAAACACAGGUCUCUGCUAAAGCGUAAGCUGAUGUAUAGGGGCUGACGCCUGCCCGGUGCUGGAAGGUUAAGGGGAUCUGUAAGCGUAAGCGAAGCAGUGAACUUAAGCCCCAGUAAACGGCGGCCGUAACUAUAACGGUCCUAAGGUAGCGAAAUUCCUUGUCGGGUAAGUUCCGACCCGCACGAAUGGCGUAAUGAUCUGGGCACUGUCUCAACAACAAAUCCGGUGAAAUUGUAGUGCAAGUGAAGAUGCUUGCUACCCGCAGUUGGACGGAAAGACCCCGUAGAGCUUUACUGUAGCUUAGCAUUGAAUUUCGGUAUUGUCUGUACAGGAUAGGUGGGAGACUUGGAAAUACCUUCGUCAGGGGGUAUGGAGUCAUCCUUGGGAUACCACCCUGACAGUACUGGAAUUCUAACGAAAGGCCAUGAAUCUGGUCGUCGGACAUUGUUAGGUGGGCAGUUUGACUGGGGCGGUCGCCUCCGAAAGUGUAACGGAGGCGCCCAAAGGUUCCCUCAGCGCGGUCGGAAAUCGCGCGUAGAGUGCAAAGGCAGAAGGGAGCCUGACUGCGACACAUACAAGUGGAGCAGGGACGAAAGUCGGGCUUAGUGAUCCGGUGGUACCUCGUGGGAGGGCCAUCGCUUAACGGAUAAAAGCUACCUCGGGGAUAACAGGCUGAUCUCCCCCAAGAGUCCACAUCGACGGGGAGGUUUGGCACCUCGAUGUCGGCUCGUCGCAUCCUGGAGCUGAAGUCGGUUCCAAGGGUUGGGCUGUUCGCCCAUUAAAGCGGCACGCGAGCUGGGUUCAGAACGUCGUGAGACAGUUCGGUCCCUAUCCGCUGCGGGCGCAGGAAAUUUGAGAGGAGCUGUCCUUAGUACGAGAGGACCGGGAUGGACUGACCUCUGGUGCACCAGUUGUCACGCCAGUGGCACAGCUGGGUAGCUAUGUCGGGAAGGGAUAAACACUGAAAGCAUCUAAGUGUGAAGCCCACCUCAAGAUUAGAUUUCCCAUGACGAAAGUCAGUAAGACUCCUUGAAGAACACAAGGUUGAUAGGUGAGAGGUGUAAGUAUGGUAACAUGUGUAGCUGACUCAUACUAAUAAGUCGAGGACUUGACCAA